CCGCUCAGAAGAGCGAGUCGCUGACACAGCCUUGCGGCCGCGUCGCGGUCCUCAGCGCGGCAAGCCGCGUUCUUCCCGCUCGCAACUCGCCCGUUUCCCGUUCAUCGCGGCGGACAGGUGUCGCUUUUUGGUUGGGAUCGCGAAAUACACACUGCAGAAAUGAUUCUGUAUAGUAUGAUUUC
rnacentral:snoRNA from 1 species